AGAAAGUUCAUUUGAUUUGCUUUACUGUGGCAUCUGCUGUGUCAUGGUGGUCUGAGCUAGACCCCGGGUGUCACUGAGGACCUACGUGGCAUCCGGGAAAGAGCAAGCACCAGUGAACAUUUGUCACCUGAAUGCACAGUCACGUUGCCUGUACUUCCUCUUCCGUGUGGCCUCACACGGGUUCCUUACUCAAGGCUCAGAAUCCGCACCCGGGAAAUGCGGCCAGCAAACACCUGACGGAGCUUCAGUGGCGACGAAUCCAGCAGGAAGAAUGAAGGCAGAGGGCUUGCAGGCAACACCAAGAGCGAUGGCCCUGUUUGUGUGCCACGUGACUCUCCCGCAGGUGUGUGACAGUAUUAACUUACUCCCCACAAGGCCCUGAGAACACUAGUGUUAUUCUUUAUCCCCAUUUUACAGACCAGCAUGCUGAGGCAAGAGCGGGCAGGUUGUCCGACUUGCAUCUGGGUCUUUCCCCACCGAGGGCCAAUGGUCUGACUUCCCACGGGAGCCCAGAGCCAAGCUGUCAGGCCUUCGGCAAGUCCAGGCACCAGACACGCUGAGAGCAAAGCCACAGCUCCUGAAGUUGGCCACGUCGUGUUUCCGUCUCUGCCGCCUUCCCCAAGAGCAGGGCCCUCGCUCACCUUCCGUUCAUCUGUCCCCCCAACGAGCGCUUGACCCACGGCACCCGUGCCCCACACCUGCCGCCACACAAACCCCACGUCCACCGGCAACUAGAGACCCGUGGGCCACCUCCCCACAGCCCCGCGUUUCACCGCUUGGAGAGUCGGCAACCAGGGGCCAGAGAGGAGCAUGUUGAUGGGGGGCAGAACUUCUCCUCGGGUGUUAGCAUAUUCUGUGCAGAUGGGACAGCCCCCAGGGCCCCAGGGCCCCUUCUCCAAGCCUGCCCCCUGCUUACCUCAGGUCGCCUCCGUUCAUGAUAGUUAUCACCAGACAGAGGUCGGUUUUGGUUUCAAAUGCAUACGCCAGCGAGACUAUAAACCUGCUGUGUACCUUU